rnacentral:rRNA from 1 species
GAUGAACGCUGGCGGCGUGCCAAUACAUGCAAGUCGAGCGAACGGACGAGAAGCUUGCUUCUCUGAUGUUAGCGGCGGACGGGUGAGUAACACGUGGAUAACCUACCUAUAAGACUGGGAUAACUUCGGGAAACCGGAGCUAAUACCGGAUAAUAUUUUGAACCGCAUGGUUCAAAAGUGAAAGACGGUCUUGCUGUCACUUAUAGAUGGAUCCGCGCUGCAUUAGCUAGUUGGUAAGGUAACGGCUUACCGAGGCAACGAUGCAUAGCCGACCUGAGAGGGUGAUCGGCCACACUGGAACUGAGACACGGUCCAGACUCCUACGGGAGGCAGCAGUAGGGAAUCUUCCGCAAUGGGCGAAAGCCUGACGGAGCAACGCCGCGUGAGUGAUGAAGGUCUUCGGAUCGUAAAACUCUGUUAUUAGGGAAGAACAUAUGUGUAAGUAACUGUGCACAUCUUGACGGUACCUAAUCAGAAAGCCACGGCUAACUACGUG